rnacentral:tRNA from 1 species
GGUCUUGUAGUGUAGCGGUUAUCACUCGGGAUUCUGAUUCCCGAAACCCAGGUUCGAGUCCUGGCAGGACCU